rnacentral:misc_RNA from 1 species
GAUGAAGAACGUAGCAAAAUGCGAUAAGUAAUGUGAAUUGCAGAAUUCAGUGAAUCAUCGAAUCUUUGAACGCACAUUGCGCCCGCUGGUAUUCCGGCGGGCAUGCCUGUUCGAGCGUCAUUUCAACCCUCAAGCCCCCGGGUUUGGUGUUGGGGAUCGGCUCUGCCCUUCUGGGCGGUGCCGCCCCCGAAAUACAUUGGCGGUCUCGCUGCAGCCUCCAUUGCGUAGUAGCUAACACCUCGCAACUGGAACGCGGCGCUGCCAUGCCGUAAAACCCCAACUUCUGAAUGUUGACCUCGGAUCAGGUAGGAAUACCCGCUGAACUUAAGCAUAUCAAUAAGCGGAGGA